GUUCACGCACCGUUUUCCGAGUCAAUGAACUCAACUAAAGAGGAGAGAACUCAAAAAAGGGUUGGUGCUGGGCCCCACCGUUCUUCUGCAGCGAGUGGCUGCUAACGCCUCUGCACUACUCGUCGACUCUUGUAAUUGCUCGCUAGCGAACUCGGCGACCCCAUGUAGCUCGUGCACCCGCUGCUGCAGCUGUUGUACGUGUUACUCGAACUCAUCUCCGAGUUGUCAAACUUGCCCAGCCCGAGUUGGUGUUGCUGGUGGUGAGCGGCGGCGGAGUACUGCAUUGGCGACGCCGUGGAUGCGUCCGGCGGAGAGAGGAAAUGGCUGAGGGAGUCGGCGUCGGCGCGUGAGAGAGAGUUACGGAGUGGCUAAAAGAGGAAGAGAGAGUUGGUGUGCGCUGAGGAAUUUUAAUUCCUUUUUUUUUAGAAUUUGAAAUGUUAUUAAGUUAAUAUAUUAAAAUGUUUUAAAAAAAUAAUAGUAUUUUAAUUAUUUUUAAAAUAUGUCAUCCGAAC
rnacentral:lncRNA from 1 species